GACGAACGCUGGCGGCGUGCCUAAUACAUGCAAGUAGAACGCUGAAGAGAGGAGCUUACUCUUCUUGGAUGAGUUGCGAACGGGUGAGUAACGCGUAGGUAACCUGCCUUGUAGCGGGGGAUAACUAUUGGAAACGAUAGCUAAUACCGCAUAACAAUGGAUGACACAUGUCAUUUAUUUGAAAGGGGCAAUUGCUCCACUACAAGAUGGACCUGCGUUGUAUUAGCUAGUAGGUGAGGUAAUGGCUCACCUAGGUGACGUUACAUAGCCGACCUGAGAGGGUGAUCGGCCACACUGGGAGUGAGACACGCCCCAGACGCCUACGGGAGGCAGCCGGAGGGAUUCUUCGGCAAGGGGGGCAACCCUGACCGAGAAACGCCGCGUGAGGGAAGAAGGUUUUCGGAUCGUAAAGCUCGGUUGUAAGUCAAGAACGGGUGUGAGAGUGGAAAGUUCACACUGUGACGGUAGCUUACCAGAAAGAGACGGCUAACUACGUG
rnacentral:rRNA from 1 species